rnacentral:rRNA from 1 species
CUGGGACUGAGACACGGCCCAGACUCCUACGGGAGGCAGCAGUGGGGAAUAUUGGACAAUGGGCGCAAGCCUGAUCCAGCAAUGCCGCGUGAGUGAUGAAGGCCUUAGGGUUGUAAAGCUCUUUUACCCGUGAUGAUAAUGACAGUAGCGGGAGAAUAAGCCCCGGCUAACUCCGUGCCAGCAGCCGCGGUAAUACGGAGGGGGCUAGCGUUGUUCGGAAUUACUGGG